rnacentral:rRNA from 1 species
GACGAACGCUGGCGGCGUGCUUAACACAUGCAAGUCGAACGAUGAAGCUGGAGCUUGCUCCGGUGGAUUAGUGGCGAACGGGUGAGUAACACGUGAGUAAUCUGCCCUUGACUCUGGGAUAACUGCGGGAAACUGUAGCUAAUACCGGAUACGACACCUUCGGGCAUCCGAUGGGUGUGGAAAGAAUUUCGGUCAAGGAUGAACUCGCGGCCUAUCAGCUAGUUGGUGAGGUAAUGGCUCACCAAGGCGACGACGGGUAGCCGGCUCGGGAGGGUGACCGGCCAAGCUGGGACUGAGAGACGGCCCGGACUCCUACGGGAGGCAGCAGUGGGGAAUAUUGCACAAUGGGCGAAAGCCUGAUGCAGCAACGCCGCGUGAGGGAUGAAGGCCUUCGGGUUGUAAACCUCUUUUAGUUGGGAAGAAGCGAAAGUGACGGUACCAACAGAAAAAGCACCGGCUAACUACGUGCCAGCAGCCGCCGUAA